rnacentral:rRNA from 1 species
UCGUGUUGUGAAAUGUUGGGUUAAGUCCCGCAACGAGCGCAACCCUUAUCCUUUGUUGCCAGCGAUUCGGUCGGGAACUCAAAGGAGACUGCCAGUGAUAAACUGGAGGAAGGUGGGGAUGACGUCAAGUCAUCAUGGCCCUUACGACCAGGGCUACACACGUGCUACAAUGGCGCAUACAAAGAGAAGCGACCUCGCGAGAGCAAGCGGACCUCAUAAAGUGCGUCGUAGUCCGGAUUGGAGUCUGCAACUCGACUCCAUGAAGUCGGAAUCGCUAGUAAUCGUGGAUCAGAAUGCCACGGUGAAUACGUUCCCGGGCCUUGUACACACCGCCCGUCACACCAUGGGAGUGGGUUGCAAAAGAAGUAGGUAGCUUAACCUUCGGGAGGGCGCUUACCACUUUGUGAUUCAUGACUGGGGUGAAGUCGUAACAAGGUAACCGUAGGGGAACCUGC